CAAAAAGGAGUUAUGGGGGUUCUAAAUCUAAUUCAUUAUUGUAACACUUCUUCUAUAUCACAAACCUUGUUGUAUUGUUCUAAACCAGAAUUGGUGCCAUGGGUUGAUAUAGAAGACACUUAUCUGAAAAGGGGAAGGGUAUCCUGGUUCUUAUGGUCAACAUCCGAGCUACCUAAAUUUCUGGUUUUGUUACCGACUACUAGUUUUAAAACAUGAUUAAUUUGUGAAGAUACUUCAACCAAUCUUGCAAUAUCCUGAUUUAGAUAUUUCAGGCUGGCGAGACUGUGGGGAGAUUGGCUCACUAUUACAUAUCUGGUGGAAUUGCAAAAAAAUUUCUUGGGUAUGGGAAAAAUUAUAUGAUCUUAUUAAAUCUAAUCUUCAGGUUUGCAGUACCUUUU